GACGAACGCUGGCGGCGUGCCUAAUACAUGCAAGUCGAGCGGACUUUCAAGAAGCUUGCUUUUUGAAAGUUAGCGGCGGACGGGUGAGUAACACGUGGGCAACCUGCCUGCAAGACGGGGAUAACUCCGGGAAACCGGCGCUAAUACCGGAUAAUAUCUUCCUUCGCAUGAAGGAAGGUUGAAAGGCGGCGCAAGCUGCCGCUUGCAGAUGGGCUCGCGGCGCAUUAGCUAGUUGGUGAGGUAACGGCUCACCAAGGCGACGAUGCGUAGCCGACCGGAGGGGGUGAUCGGCCACACUGGGACUGAGACACGGCACAUACUGCUACGGGAGGCAGCAGUAGGGAAUCUUCCGCAAUGGACGAAAGUCUGACGGAGCAACGCCGCGUGAGCGAAGAAGGGCUUCGGAUCGGAAAGCUCUGUUGUCAGGGAAGAACAAGUACCGUUCGAAGAGGGCGGUACCUUGACGGUACCUGACCAGAAAGCCACGGCUAACUACGUG
rnacentral:rRNA from 1 species